GUAGCCCUGAAUCAAGGCCCACAGCUUGCUGUAGCUGUUGGUUUCAAACAGCGGCUAAUAUAAAAGUCUUCUUAUGGUAUGUUGACUUUCCCAGAGUUAUCUAAUGGGUAAAGACGAUUCACUUUGAAGGAACAAUU
ensembl:snoRNA small nucleolar RNA SNORA2/SNORA34 family